AAAUUGAAGAGUUUGAUCAUGGCUCAGAUUGAACGCUGGCGGCAGGCCUAACACAUGCAAGUCGAACGGUAGCACAGAGAGCUUGCUCUCGGGUGACGAGUGGCGGACGGGUGAGUAAUGUCUGGGAAACUGCCUGAUGGAGGGGGAUAACUACUGGAAACGGUGGCUAAUACCGCAUAACGUCGCGAGACCAAAGAGGGGGACCUUCGGGCCUCUUGCCAUCAGAUGUGCCCAGAUGGGAUUAGCUUGUUGGUGAGGUAACGGCUCACCAAGGCGACGAUCCCUAGCUGGUCUGAGAGGAUGACCAGCCACACUGGAACUGAGACACGGUCCAGACUCCUACGGGAGGCAGCAGUGGGGAAUAUUGCACAAUGGGCGCAAGCCUGAUGCAGCCAUGCCGCGUGUAUGAAGAAGGCCUUCGGGUUGUAAAGUACUUUCAGCGGGGAGGAAGGUGUUGUGGUUAAUAACCGCAGCAAUUGACGUUACCCGCAGAAGAAGCACCGGCUAACUCCGUGCCAGCAGCCGCGGUAAUACGGAGGGUGCAAGCGUUAAUCGGAAUUACUGGGCGUAAAGCGCACGCAGGCGG
rnacentral:rRNA from 1 species